rnacentral:rRNA from 1 species
AUGCAGCGAAGAUUCCUUGAUGCGAUAGCCGUUGUUCAGAGAUACGGGAAGCCUGAUUACUUAAUCACUAUGACUUGCAACCCUUACUAGGAGGAGAUAAUUUCCAGACUUGCACCCGGACAAACACCACAAGACCGUUCUGACCUGGUGGCCAGAGUAUGCAGGGCCAAGAUGCGGAGUCUGAAAGAUCUUAUGAUAAAAAAGAAGUACUUUGGUCCGGUUGCGGCGUAUGCUGUUACCGAGUUCCAAAAAAGGGGUCUGCCGCAUGAGCACUUCCUGCUGAUCAUGGCCUCAGAUAGUAAGCUGACAAAUCCAGACGCCUAUGAUAGGGUAAUCUCGGCAGAGAUCCCUAGCCGUGACAAGUACCCUGUGUUGCAUGGACUGGUUAUCAAGCAUAUAUUCCACGGCCCAUGUGGUACUCUCCAGAAGAAUUGUCCUUGCAUGAUAGAUGGAAAUUGUCGUUUUCGUUACCCUCGACAGUUUUGCCCUGCAACACAACAAGGAAAGGACUCAUACCCUGUAUAUAGGAGACGAGAUGAUGGCCGCCGAGUUAAAGUUAGGAAUGCAGUGUUGGACAACAGAUGGGUUGUCCCGUACAACCCCGGACUGCUUAUGAGAUAUAAUUGCCACAUUAAUGUUGAAGCUUGCUCAAGCAUAAAAUCAGUCAAAUAUUUGUACAAGUACAUAUACAAGGGGCAUGAUCGUGCUUCCUUCUCAGUUGACCCAACGACAAAUGAUGGUGUUGUGAUAAAUGAGAUUCGGUAA